UGGGGAAUAUUGGACAAUGGGCGAAAGCCUGAUCCAGCCAUGCCGCGUGUGUGAAGAAGGUCUUCGGAUUGUAAAGCACUUUAAGUUGGGAGGAAGGGCAGUAAGCGAAUACCUUGCUGUUUUGACGUUACCGACAGAAUAAGCACCGGCUAACUCUGUGCCAGCAGCCGCGGUAAUACAGAGUGUGCAAGCGUUAAUCGGAAUUACUGGGCGUAAAGCGCGCGUAGGUGGUUCGUUAAGUUGAAUGUGAAAGCCCGGGCUCAACCUGGGAACUGAAUCCAAAACUGGCGGGCUAGAGUAGGGCAGAGGGUGGUGGAAUUUCCUGUGUAGCGGUGAAAUGCGUAGAUAUAGGAAGGAACACCAGUGGCGAAGGCGACCACCUGGGCUCAUACUGACACUGAGGUGCGAAAGCGUGGGGAGCAAACAGG
rnacentral:rRNA from 1 species